GUUGGUAGAUUCAGCUGUGCUGGGCAUCCUGGCUGAGUAACAGAGACAGUGAAUGUAAACAAUUAAGAUGUUCUAAUAAAGGAACCCAAAGAGGGUCCCAGAGGCUAGAAUAUCUACCUCCUGGGGGCAAACAGAGGUUUCCUAAGAACAUGUCAUCUGAGCAGAGUCCUCAAGUAAGACUAGGAGUUGCAUGGGGAGAGGAGGGGAAGGUAGGCCUGCAGACGGCUAGGUGAGCACAGGCACGGGGUGUGGAACAUUUAGCUUAUGGCAAGAGCAGAGGGUACAAAGGAAGGAGAGAGAGGAGGUGGGAUGGGAAGGUCAAUUGUGCCAACUAAGAUUUUUUUCCUGUAGUAAGGGGGAGGGAGGGCCUGAAGGACUUUAAACAGGUGAGCCAUGCAAUCAGCUGUGCUUUGGGAGGAUAGCUCUGGUGGUGACAUGGAGCCUUGAGGAUGGGACUAUACGCAUGAGACUGGGAUCAGAGUGGAGGCAGCUGGCAAGGAGGCAGUCAGGAGACCCUACUAAUAUAGGGAAUCCAAAUGAAGGAGAAAAAUCAUGAUGGCACAGCUAGAAACUAAUAGAGAAGAAAAAAUACCCCAGGCAUUUUGGCCUUGUUUUACAACAUAUUUCUUAGCUUUUUGAUGGCAAUGGAAGCUUUUUUGAAGUUGUCUUUUGUUUCCUGCCUUUACUGUAUGCUCUGAAUUCCCUUCUCUUUCAUGCUUUUUGGUUUGCAUCUAUUCUUUCAUAUUGGAGGCUUUGCUCAAACAUUCUGUGGACCUUAUCUGUUUGCAUAUAUUUAAAUGCAAGGCACUGAAAGACAAAAGACCUAUUCAAGGCAGAGUACAAAGUGGACCAGGGCAGGCUGAUUUCUCAACCUCUCUGUCGUGAGUUGACUCGUGUACUCCCAAAAGCUAUGUUGAAGUUCUAACCCCGGUACCUGUGAAUGUGGCCAUGUUUGGAAAUAGGGUCUUUGCAGAUGUUAGUUAUCAAGGUAAGGUGAGAUCAUAUUGGAUUAGAAUGGGCCCUAAAUCCAAUGGUUUGUGUCUUUAUAAGAAGGUCAUGUGAAAACACAGACACAAAAGAACGUUAUGUGAAGGCAGAGGCAGAGGAUGUCAAGAACUGCUAGCAGCCAUCAGCAACGAGGAGAGAUGCAUGGAACGGACUCUCCCUCAGAGCCUUCACAAGGAACCACCCCUGCUGACACCUGAAUUCUAGCUUCUAGAACUGUUUUCUUAGUGUGAAAUAUGAACUCAUGAGCAUCUGGCCUGGGAACUGGACCAGUUUUAAAUCUCGUGUUGAGAGCCGGAAGAUGCUGGAGAAGGAAUGUGGUGGAAUGACUGCCUGAGAAUGAACCAUUCUCCAGUGAGAGGGGGCUUCGAUAUUGAAAGGGCAAUUUGGCCUUAACUUGGAAAUGCUGGAGAUUGAUUGCAUACAAUCUGUCCUGCUAGUGAGAGAAGCAAGGACUGCAUCUAAGUGCAACAUGAAGACUUUUGGUCCCAAGCUUUCCUCCAACUUCAGUGGGAGGCAGCCCAAAACCACCGUCGGUUCAAGAAUACAAGUGACCUGCAAUUCUUGGAAAGACUCCCCCAAUUCUUCUCCCAAUAUGUGGUCAGCUUUUCCAGCAGGAUUAGGGAGGGAGGAGUUUCAGCUGUGCUUCUAAGAUCUUCCAGAAUGAAUUUUCUACCUCAAAAAUCAAGGACUUUUCUGGAAACUGCAGUCAGAGGACAGAACAUCAGCCUCAAGCUGGAAAAACAUUUAUUUUGUGGUGGGGUGUGUACCUCAGUAUUCCCUGUGCUAGAAGAAAAGAAGCACUUUCAAGGAAGAGAAAUGGAAAUGUAAAGGAGAAGGCCUGCCAGUUCCUACGAAUGAGAAAUGAUCUUCCACCAUCACUAAGCACACUUACGGUUAACAUCGCGAACAUCAGCUGACACACGUUGAAGCUCCAUGAACAUCCGGAGAGCAGCUGUGAUCAUGGCAUCAACGUCGAGAGAAAAGUCAUCAAAAUGAAUGUCAUCGAUGGCAAGUUCUGACACCAGAGGGAUGUUGGCUGCCUAGAAAAGCAAAAGACAUAAGUCAAGCCAAGUUCACCAGCUUUCCCAAACCCCCAUCCUGCUCUCCUCCCCUGCUUAUCAGAAGUGCCACAUAAAUCAGGCCUGACCUGCACUUACACCCUGAUACAGCUAAACUCUGAGCUGUAAAUGUCUUUUGUUUCUGAACUGCAAAUGCCCCAAGCAAAUGAAGGUGGGGGCAGGGUUGGGGGCGGGGGGAGGGAAACUAAUCUGAAGAUAAAAUACACGCACUGGAUCUAGCCUGCAGAAUUUAUAAUACAGAACUGUCAAGUUUAUGGAAACUGUGGUCAUACAAUAUAUUCUGAUGCAUAUUACAGAGCACUAAAUGCAAGAAACAUCUGGGCAGCCAGCAGCUGUGAAUUUUAAUUGAUGCUAUUCAGGAGAAGGAGAAGGGAAUACACCACUUUGCCUUGUUUCUUAUAUCCUUAUAUCCUGUAGCUUGCACGUGUUCUUUGUUACACACGUGUUCUGUAUAUUCAGAAUGAUCGAAAGGAUCAGACAGCACAUCUCUGGUGGGAAAUAUGUUGCCUUAAUAAAAUAGAGAUAUCUGAAGGUUUAGCAUAAGCCUAUGUUUCACUGAGGAGAUCAAUUUUGCUUUCUUGUUUAGCUUCAUUCUAUAUAAACAUCACAACAUAAUUACAAUACUGGUCAUACAUAUUCAAGGUUUUCAAAACACCCAUGUUAGGCAACUGUCAAUCAGCUGCCCACAAACGAGCCUAAAGAGGAGAA
rnacentral:lncRNA from 1 species